rnacentral:lncRNA from 1 species
GGCUUUGCAAUGAUCUCUCUUUCCCCUCAGCCAUGCUACCCUCUGGCCUCUGCUGCUGAAGAAUCCAUCACACGCCCAACUAGCUGGUCUGUCCUUAAAGAGAUGGUGCCAAACAGGGCUGCUGAUGUCAUAUGAUAUCCUUCAUAACUCAAGUGUGGACAACACCCUUUUCUGUGAAGAUAACAUUGGAUUGUAAAUGAGUGCAAAG